GAAACGUUAAGACGUUUUAAGCGCUUGUUAAACCCGGUACGGUGGUGAUUUUUUUUUAAUUUAAGUGCAAAAAUCAAGAAAAAAGAAUUGAGAAUUAAAAAAAUAUAUAUGAAAUAAGAAAAAAAUCUAUAGAUAUAAAGAAAAAAUAAGCCAAAAUAAGAAGAAAAAAAAUCCAACCCAAAAAACAACAUCAUCAAUAAAUCGUUUGUAAAUGUUUUUACCAAAAUUAGACGAAAAAUUCAAUAACAAAAUUGUUUAACAUGAUGCCAGCAAAAUGUUAUUAAGCUAAACAAAAAGUAUAUGAAUGAGUGCGUGCGUCAGACAACCGUAAAGUGACUUUAAUCAUUUAAAACCGAUACGUUAACAAUUAUAAGAUAAAUAUAGUUUGAAGAACGAAUAACCAAAAAUCAAACGGUAAAAAAAAA